CCGAGUUUACAACUCCCAAACCCAAUGUGAACGUUACCAAACUGUUGCCUCGGCGGGAUCUCUGCCCCGGGUGCGUCGCAGCCCCGGACCAAGGCGCCCGCCGGAGGACCAACCAAAACUCUUAUUGUAUACCCCCUCGCGGGUUUUUUACUAUCUGAGCCAUCUCGGCGCCCCUCGUGGGCGUUUCGAAAAUGAAUCAAAACUUUCAACAACGGAUCUCUUGGUUCUGGCAUCGAUGAAGAACGCAGCGAAAUGCGAUAAGUAAUGUGAAUUGCAGAAUUCAGUGAAUCAUCGAAUCUUUGAACGCACAUUGCGCCCGCCAGUAUUCUGGCGGGCAUGCCUGUCCGAGCGUCAUUUCAACCCUCGAACCCCUCCGGGGGGUCGGCGUUGGGGAUCGGCCCUUUACGGGGCCGGCCCCGAAAUACAGUGGCGGUCUCGCCGCAGCCUCUCCUGCGCAGUAGUUUGCACACUCGCAUCGGGAGCGCGGCGCGUCCACAGCCGUUAAACACCCCAAACUUCUGAAAUGUUGACCUCGGAUCAGGUAGGAAUACCCGCUGAACUUAAGCAUACU
rnacentral:rRNA from 1 species